rnacentral:rRNA from 1 species
UACAGAGGUCUCAAGCGUUGUUCGGAUUCAUUGGGCGUAAAGGGUGCGUAGGCGGCGCGGUAAGUCGGGUGUGAAAUCUCGGAGCUUAACUCCGAAACUGCAUUCGAUACUGCCGUGCUUGAGGACUGGAGAGGAGACUGGAAUUUACGGUGUAGCGGUGAAAAUGCGUAGAUAUCAGGAGGAACACCAGCGGCGAAGGCGGCGCUCUGGGCCGGUACUGACACUGAGGAGCGAAAAGCGUGGGGGAUCAAACAGG